rnacentral:lncRNA from 1 species
AUACCUUUGCAUGGGUAAAAGAUCUCCACAAUUGAUGAUCGUAGAAAGAUUUUUUUCUUAUAGCCAUACGAGUGUCCAGCUUCUACAUAUAUCUACAUGGAGUAAAGGACUGAUCAGUAAUCAAGUGAUUCUUUGGGGUGCUAGCUCCCUUGCAAAACCCUUGCUUGAUGGAGAAGUAUCUCAACCCUUUGAGAUUAAAGCAUAAUCACAGCUUUCUUCUUCAAGAGAGGAGAGAGAAAGGUUGGGGUGUGGAG